rnacentral:tRNA from 2 species
GGGCGUGUUCCAGAGUGGCCAAAUGGGGCAGACUGUAAAUCUGCUGGUUUAUGCCUUCGGUGGUUCGAAUCCAUCCGCGCCCA